CGGCUGGAGUUGUCGAAGUUGGUGGUGGCCGCGAUGAGCGCGGCUUCUCUCCGCUUCCCCGCCCGGCGGGGCCCCUGAUGGCUGCUGCCCCCGCCUCGCAGGCUGCUGGGUUUGGUCUCGGGUGGCUUUUUUUUAUGUGUUUUUCUUUUUGUUAUUAUUUUUCUCCUCCGUCUCGCUCUCGCUCCAGCCAAGGUGAAUGGCCCGCGGUGGGUGUAGCUGGCCUCAGCGGCUCCGCAAGGGGAAAAUGCUGGCGGUGGGGGUGCUGGCCGGCCUCUCGGUGCUCAGCCUCCUCACCUACGGCUACCUGUCCUGGGACAGCCUCGGACGCGGCCCCGGAGAGGCGCCGGCAGCGCUGGGAGAAGAGCCGGGGGUCGGCGCCCCCAGCUCGCAGCCGCACAUCAUCUUCAUCCUGGCUGACGAUCAGGGCUUCAGAGAUGUAGGGUACCACGGCUCGGAGAUCAGGACGCCCACUCUGGACAUGCUAGCUGCUGAAGGGGUUAAACUGGAGAACUAUUAUGUUCAGCCUAUGUGCACACCAUCCAGAAGCCAGUUUAUCACUGGAAAGUACCAGAUACACACCGGCCUUCAGCACUCCAUUAUACGGCCAACCCAGCCCAACUGCCUACCUCUGGAUAACGUCACGCUACCUCAGAAGCUGAAGGAGGUUGGUUACUCAACACACAUGGUUGGCAAAUGGCACUUGGGGUUUUAUCGCAGAGAAUGCAUGCCCACACAGAGAGGAUUUGACACUUUCUUUGGCUCACUCUUAGGCAGCGGUGACUACUACACUCACUUCAAAUGUGACAGCCCUGGAAUAUGUGGCUAUGACCUGUAUGAGAAUGAUAAUGCAGCUUGGGAUCACGACAAUGGCAUCUACUCCACACAGAUGUACACGCAAAAAGUACAACAAAUAUUAGCUUCUCACAAUCCCAGGAAACCUAUAUUCUUAUAUAUUGCUUACCAAGCUGUUCAUUCGCCUCUUCAGGCACCAGGAAAGUAUUUUGAACAUUAUCGAUCCAUAAAUAACAUAAACAGGCGAAGAUAUGCUGCGAUGCUAGCUUGUUUGGAUGAAGCCAUAAACAACGUAACCCUUGCUCUAAAGAAGUACGGUUACUAUGACAAUAGCAUUAUCAUAUACUCUUCAGAUAACGGUGGGCAGCCAAUGGCUGGAGGAAGUAACUGGCCUCUCCGAGGGAGCAAAGGAACAUACUGGGAAGGAGGUAUCCGUGCUGUUGGGUUUGUCCACAGCCCCCUUCUGAAAAACAAAGGGUCUGUGUGUAAGGAGCUUGUGCACAUCACGGACUGGUUCCCCACUUUGAUCACACUGGCUGAAGGACAGAUUGAUGAAGAUAUCCAGUUAGAUGGCUAUGAUAUAUGGGAAACCAUUAGCGAAGGCAGACGUUCUCCACGGGUAGACAUCUUACACAACAUUGACCCAAUUUACACCAAAGCCAAAAAUGGUUCUUGGGCAGCUGGCUAUGGGAUCUGGAACACUGCAAUUCAAUCUGCCAUCAGAGUGAAUCAUUGGAAACUACUGACAGGAAAUCCAGGAUAUAGUGACUGGGUUCCUCCGCAGGCCUUCAGCAACAUGGGCCCCAAUCGCUGGCAUAAUGAACGUGUUUCUUGGUCAGCUGGCAAAACUGUGUGGCUUUUCAACAUAACUGCUGAUCCAUAUGAACGGGUGGACCUCUCUGCAAAGUAUCCUGAUGUAGUGAAACAGCUGUUGAGGAGGCUUUCACAGUUUAAUAAGACUGCGGUUCCUGUUCGGUACCCACCUAAGGAUCCACGGAGUAACCCAAAGCUGAAUGGAGGAGUCUGGGGUCCAUGGUUUAAAGAGGAUGAAAAGAAGAAGUCAGAUAAAAGUAAAGGUGCUAAUAAGCAAAAGAAGGACAAGAACAAGAAAAAAGCAAAUCGGAAAAAAGGACAAUCAUUACAUUGCCGAUCACGUCUUGCUGGUGGAUAGACUUUCAGCAUUCUUGUUUUUGCCAAGCCUAAGACAGCUUGGCCCAAAUUCCUUGAAUUCUGACAAUAUACCAGAAAUGCCUGCUCUGCACUAUAGAGGAAAGCUGUCAUCUUUUAAUUUGUUCUCAAAUUUCACUAGGAUGAGAUAUUUUGACGCUGCAUCAAACAUACAUAAACAUCCAUGUGACAGACUUUCUCCUCUGCAGGAAGAAUGGUGCUCUUCCAUCACAGCUAAAUUCCAGAUAAGAACACAAUUACUCCUAACUUCAGAAGGCCCAUUUUUGAUGGACAAAUGAUUGUUCCUUGCCUGAAUUAGUUAGAAUUUUUUGAGAGUCUGGAAUGGCAGAUGAUUCAUAGAGAGAAAGGAAAAGCAAAGCUUGAAAACUUCUGUAGGUCUGAGAGUAUUAGCCACCAACCUGUGACGUUUUUUGAUAAAACACAGCAAAAAUUGAAGCCAACAGUAUCUUUUUUGGGGGUGCUGGGGAGAGAAACACGAUAGUAGGAAAGCUGCUUUGAAUUAGACAGUGUCUCUCUUAGGUAAACCAGAAAUACUUUUUAAAUUCUCUAAAUGUGCUAACCUUUCCUCAUUUGUAGUAAAACCAGAAGGUUGUUAUCAGCACACCUGAAUAACUAGCACAUGUCAUAUAUAAUUUAUUAUAGGCAUAGGCAAAAGCACAUCACCAAAGUGAAUGUAAUAUUUAAACACUUUAAGAUAUCUAUUCUACAGAACAUGCAAGACGUAAUUUAUUUUACAGCACAAUACUUUCUUCUUUUCCAUUCAAACUUUAAUUAGUGGGUGAUGCAAGGGUUGUUUGUUUUGCUUUUGAUUUUUAAUUUUAUUUUCACUCAGUCAUUCAGAGUUUUGUUCAACAGAUCCAAAUCCUCAGAGUACUGUAAAACAAGGAAAUGCUGUAGACACUGCUAGGAUGAGAGAGGAGAAUGAUUCAGGCAAAAUGAGAGUCUUUGAAUGCAAACAGUGCAAAGCAGAACAGUGGAUCAGUUCUUGCAUGAAAUAUAUGUGCCAAAAUGUUCAGCAGACUGAGAUAUCACUGACAUCUGUUUCCUUCUUAUCCACUCCUGCAAAGGCCAGCAUCAGGACUUGUAGUAGAAGACAGUCCUUGAAGUCCAGCUAAAAUCAUGUCUUUCUCAAAUUUGUCAUGAUUGCUGCCAAGAGAAGUUUAGCUGUAGUUCCUAUAAUGAAUAGGCACCUGAGGAGCAUGAGAAUAAAGCUGGUAUUUAAUGUGGAACCAGCUCUGUUAACCUCUUGGAGAAAAAUGUCAGCUCUUGGCAAAGGCAUUCAUGUUACUAGAAUUGUUCAGCUGGACCUCACCGCUUCUAGGAUAUGAGAUGGUGAAUAAUAGGAUAAGAGAAGCAAGAGAUAGAAGAUAUCUGCAGAGUUCUCUUCAUGAAGACUGUGGCGUUACACUCUUGGCCUAUGAAAAAUGUACAUCAUUUGCUGGACAGUUGCAAUGGGUUUCUGUGAAGCAGAAGAGCUGUUGAUGCUUCAUUCAAUUCUGCAUUUGUUUGAAGGAAGACCUCCAAACAGCAAAAGAAUUCAUCUGAAUUUUUACACCAUCAGUAGAUGACUGUUAAACAUGAUGUAUUCUCAGUUACUGUCUAUGUGUGUUUCUAGUGCUAGGCAAUAAAAGAUAAGCCAAGAGAUUUGCAAGCAAUAUCUUAAUGAUAUUAGCACAGCGUGCAAAGUAUGCAGCAAGAAGAGUCUGUUAAGAAUGUUAAGAGUUAAGAGUGUGUUAAGCAACCUUAUCCUAGAAUUCAGGAACCUUUACUUUUCCAUUAAAAAAUUUGCUAAGUCUUCUCCUAAGGCCUUUGAGUGUUUGUCACUAGCAUUAGGCCCUCUCUAUCCAUGUGGUCCUUAGAAAAUGAAGCUUUGAAUUUUUGUCUCAGAUUCUAUCUGCUACACAUUGGAUUGUGAAAAGUGUGCUCAGACUCAUUAAAUCUACAGGGCUUGGAAGCUGUCUUUGUGGUUAUGCCACAAACAAUAUUGCAUGCAGGACCAAAGUGCUGUAACUCUUUGGCAUGAGGCACAGUGCAUGCAAGAGCUUAGGAGCAGUCACGCAACCAUCUCUUAACACAUCUCCUGUUCUUCAGCUGCUGACAAAGAGGUGUUUUUUAAAAAAGUUAUAAGUUAAACAGAUGUCCUUGGAGAGGCUGAAGACGAAAAUAUUUCUCAAGUGAGCAAUUUCACUCACAGAGAAUGGAAGCUGUUUUGGUAGGUUGCUACAGGUAGCGAGGAGCAGAACUGCAGUGCUGUUUCCUGUUUUGUGGUUAAAAUACAAUACAAUACCUGAUGCGGAGUGCUUAAACACAUAGAGGAUAAAGUCCUAUAGGACUUAAUUUUCACAGGCCAAGAUGGGACAGUCCGUGUACAAAUGUGCAUAAGCGAGCUGUGCUACUGCACCACUUCAAUUACUUCUACCUCCAAGUGGAGAUCCAGAGGCACUAUGAAAUCUACAGACUGGAUGAUUUUGAACCUUUUUUCAGAGAAGUUGUGAAUGCCAGUAAAUAAAUAGCAGAUAAAGUAGAAACAACUUCUAUGCCACUGUUGGUGGAUGGCAGGGAAAAGCAAAAAGAAAUAUUACGUAGGAAAUUAUUAGUUGGUGAAGGGAAGGGGAAAAAAAGAGAAUCUUUUCAUUUCCUUAAAGGUGCUUAUUUCUUGAAUUUAACACAGCUAACUUGACAUAUUCUUUCUUGAAAAAAAAAAAAGAACCUCUGCCUCUCAUUUGCCUUUGCAUUACUUUCAUCUUGAGUGUGAAAUUCCAAGUUACUGUGAAAAAGCUGCCCUACGAAUAUUCUUGGCAAUACUGCAAGCAGAAAGUACAGGAAACCUCACAAGAGAGUUUGUUCCAGCAGCACUGCCAUCCACGUUUCACAGCUGCAAGGACAUUCAAAGUCAGUCUAAAUACCGUCUUUUCCCUUGUACAGAAUCUUGCUGAAGUGGAAGUACCUGGGACCUGAAAAGUUUAACAAAGUUAUGGCAGAAUCACAAACUGCUGAAAUAAAGUGGAAAGGAAAAGUCAUCCAUGAGAAAAAAGUUUCACAAACCAUUUCUCUGCUGUUUAUUGUUUCUACAUUUCAGAGAAGAGAGACCGUGGGGAACAUAUAAGGCUGUAUGUGAAUACCUGGAAAAGCCCAAACCGUGUUGAUUUUGCCAUCAAAAUACAGAAGCCUUCAGUGCUGAAACAGCAUUAGAGUCUAGAGGGAAUAGAUGUGAUUCAAAGCUUUCUUAGCUGAUUUCACCUUAUGUUCAACUACCGUCACUCUUGAGUGACACAGAAGCUCAGCCUUGGCUUAUACAUACUGUGCUACAGUUGCUGAAGCUUCUCAGGGUGCCCCUAAAGGAAAGAAAUUCAUGCCUCAACGCUGUCAAAGAGUACAGACUUUGAAGUCCAUAAAGCUCAACCUGACAUUGAGAAGGUGGAAGCAGCAAUGCAACCAGAGUCCCGCUUCUUCAUUUUGAAGUAAAGAGGCAAUCUUGCAUCAUGGAUGAAUUUAUUCCUUUAUAGAUGGGUGGUAGUGGGUUUUCCACUCUGUGUACUACCAACUUUCUCCAAGAUUGAUGUCACCUGCACCUAAUGACAAUGAGAGCACAUCCAGCUACAAGCAGCUCUCUGUAUAACCUGCUGAUCAGUGUUUUUCCUGUGGUACAACAGACUAAGCUCUCUUGUUGAUCUCAGCUUCCUUCACCCCCUCCUUGUUUGUUAUGUCAAGCCCACCACCACUCUCCUGGUGCAACCAGAGCUGGGUGUCAGGUGUUGUCCAUGCAAGCCUCUCUAGAGCAGCACAAGGCAGAGUGACUUUUAUCAUGCUGCUGAGGAGACCAUUGCUCGCCAGUGAGUUCUGCCAAUCUGGGUUCACAUUUUGUAUCAACAAGAUUUGUAUGCUUUAUUGAUCAAGUUACAGUUCAUUGGCUUUAUUGUCAUAUGCACCUGUAACCGCAUCAGUGUUCACUGUCACUCACUUUGGGGCAGUAAAGCUUUGCCACAGGAAUACUUGAGAAGGACCAUGGGCUGCCAUUCAAGACCAUCUGGUACUAAACAGUAUUUCUCUAAACCCAUGGUUACCUAGGUAUCAAUCAAGGCCGUUUUCUAUCUGGACCUCUGCUGUAAGUGGCCAUUCAGUUUGUCCAUAAGCUAAAUAUACAGUACUCCUAGCAGAGCUCAUAAUGAGUGUACACGAAUGACCUUUCAAAAGCUCUCUAACUCCUUCAAAACACAAGCAGAGAGAAAGUCUGUAUUUGUGAGAUCAGAAAUAAAAUGAAAACCUCGCUUUGGCUGAAUAAAAAAGCCAUAUACAGGAAAGCCCUUGAUGAAUAGCAUACUUUUAACAAAAAUACCAUUUCCUUUGCCACAAUAAAUAUUGUUUCAGAUUCUGAAAUUAAGUGCUUGUUCCACUGGGCUGUAACAUUUUGUUAAGCUGCAGAGACGUUAGAGGAACAGCUAUUCCAUUUCUUACAGACUUCAGCUAUUUACAAUUCUCUUUUAAUAUUUCUUUUUUCUGGAGGAGAGAAACAUGUCCUAGGAUUUUCUCUAAGCCUUUUUUGGUUCAUUAUGGAGGUCUGACUUUCUGCGUCCACUAAAGCAACCACAGAUGAACUACUUUUGCGGCCUUAGGGAAACCUGAACCUGGAGCCAGCUUUUAGAAUUCACUGACAGGCCCAGGUCCUUGGCUGCCGUGGCAGAGGCUCUGCUCCUCUCAGAAAGUUUGGAGAAUUUAUGGAGGACUUAAGUAGCAGCUACAAAUCAUCGUUCUGUUUCAGCUCAAGAGUGAACUGCAUUUAAGGGAGCAUUGUUGUAACAAGAAGAAAACUUCCCAGCUCAAGUGUUUCCAAGCUAUUAAUCAUUCCCAAGUAUCUGUCCCCCUGGAAAUUCUCCAAGUCCUUAUGAUACUGCUCUUGUAAACAAUUAUUUUCUUUCCUGAACUCCUGUAAUAAAAUUCAUACUGGAUAUUGCUCUUAGGACA